rnacentral:rRNA from 1 species
ACGAACGCUGGCGGCAGGCCUAACACAUGCAAGUCGAGCGAGGACUUCGGUUCUAGCGGCGGACGGGUGAGUAACGCGUGGGAAUGUGCCCUUCUCUACGGAAUAGCCCUGGGAAACUGGGAGUAAUACCGUAUACGCCCUUUUGGGGAAAGAUUUAUCGGAGAAGGAUCAGCCCGCGUUGGAUUAGGUAGUUGGUGGGGUAAUGGCCUACCAAGCCGACGAUCCAUAGCUGGUUUGAGAGGAUGAUCAGCCACACUGGGACUGAGACACGGCCCAGACUCCUACGGGAAGCAGCAGUGGGGAAUCUUAGACAAUGGGGGCAACCCUGAUCUAGCCAUGCCGCGUGAGUGAUGAAGGCCUUAGGGUUGUAAAGCUCUUUCAGCUGGGAAGAUAAUGACGGUACCAGCAGAAGAAGCCCCGGCUAACUCCGUG